UGAGGAAUAUUGGUCAAUGGGCGAGAGCCUGAACCAGCCAAGUAGCGUGAAGGAUGACUGCCCUAUGGGUUGUAAACUUCUUUUAUAAAGGAAUAAAGUCGGGUAUGGAUACCCGUUUGCAUGUACUUUAUGAAUAAGGAUCGGCUAACUCCGUGCCAGCAGCCGCGGUAAUACGGAGGAUCCGAGCGUUAUCCGGAUUUAUUGGGUUUAAAGGGAGCGUAGAUGGAUGUUUAAGUCAGUUGUGAAAGUUUGCGGCUCAACCGUAAAAUUGCAGUUGAUACUGGAUAUCUUGAGUGCAGUUGAGGCAGGCGGAAUUCGUGGUGUAGCGGUGAAAUGCUUAGAUAUCACGAAGAACUCCGAUUGCGAAGGCAGCCUGCUAAGCUGCAACUGACAUUGAGGCUCGAAAGUGUGGGUAUCAAACAGGAUUAGAUACCCUGGUAGUCCACACGGUAAACGAUGAAUACUCGCUGUUUGCGAUAUACUGCAAGCGGCCAAGCGAAAGCGUUAAGUAUUCCACCUGGGGAGUACGCCGGCAACGGUGAAACUCAAAGGAAUUGACGGGGGCCCGCACAAGCGGAGGAACAUGUGGUUUAAUUCGAUGAUACGCGAGGAACCUUACCCGGGCUUAAAUUGCAGAUGAAUUAUGGUGAAAGCCGUAAGCCGCAAGGCAUCUGUGAAGGUGCUGCAUGGUUGUCGUCAGCUCGUGCCGUGAGGUGUCGGCUUAAGUGCCAUAACGAGCGCAACCCUUGUUGUCAGUUACUAACAGGUUCCGCUGAGGACUCUGACAAGACUGCCAUCGUAAGAUGUGAGGAAGGUGGGGAUGACGUCAAAUCAGCACGGCCCUUACGUCCGGGGCUACACACGUGUUACAAUGGGGGGUACAGAAGGCAGCUACCUGGCGACAGGAUGCUAAUCCCUAAAACCUCUCUCAGUUCGGAUUGGAGUCUGCAACCCGACUCCAUGAAGCUGGAUUCGCUAGUAAUCGCGCAUCAGCCACGGCGCGGUGAAUACGUUCCC
rnacentral:rRNA from 1 species